UACGUAGGGUCCAAGCGUUAAUCGGAAUUACUGGGCGUAAAGGGUGCGUAGGCGGUUCGCUAAGUUGGAUGUGAAAACUCUGGGCUCAACCCAGAGCCUGCAUCCAAUACUGACGAGCUAGAGUUCUGGAGGGGAUAGCGGAAUUCCUGGUGUAGCGGUGAAAUGCGUAGAUAUCAGGAGGAACACCGGUGGCGAAGGCGGCUAUCUGGACAGAGUCUGACGCUGAGGCACGAAAGCUAGGGGAGCAAACAGG
rnacentral:rRNA from 1 species